AGUCACUGACAUUAGAUACCCGUGUAGUCCAGGGUGUAAACGCUGCAGACUUGGUGUUGGGGGCCCUUUGGGGGCAUUCAGUGCCGGAGAGAAGUUGUUAAGUCUGCUACUUGGGGAGUACGUCCGCAAGGAUGAAACUUAAAGGAAUUGGCGGGGGAGUACCGCAACGGGAGGAGCGUGCGGUUUAAUUUGGAUUCAACACCGUAAAACUCACCAGGGAAGACUGUUACAUGAAGGCCGAGAUGAAGACUCUGCUAGAUUUUUCAG
rnacentral:rRNA from 1 species